rnacentral:ncRNA from 2 species
CUGCAUCCGUUGGGGUGCCGCUAUCGUGGCUGAGAGGUUUUAACAAACCAACCCACCGAACCUGAUCCGGUCAGCACCGGCGGAGGGAACGGAGCAGGCAAAAUU